UACGAGUGCCCCCAAGCGUUAUCCGGAAUUAUUGGGCGUAAAGGGUGCGUAGGUGGUUUGAUUAGUCUCUGGUCAAAGACCCCGACUUAAUCGGGGAAAGGCGGGAGAAACGGUCAAACUAGAGGAGGUGAGGGGUUUAUGGAACUCAUGGUGUAGGGGUGAAAUCCGUUGAUAUCAUGGGGAACACCAAAAGCGAAGGCAAUAAACUGGCGCCUACCUGACACUCAAGCACGAAAGCGUGGGGAUCAAACGGGAUUAGAAACCCCAGUAGU
rnacentral:rRNA from 1 species